GCAGUGAGCCGGGUAAUCGCUGCCAUCAGUAACCUCCGCCGUCGCCCUCAUGGGCGAUAGCGGGAGAAGUGCUGGCGGGAGAGGAAAGUCCGAACUCCGCAGGGCAGUGCGCCGGGUAAUUCCCGGGCGGGGCAACCCGACGGAUAGUGGCACAGAAAAUAUACCGCUCCGCCAUCGCCCGAGACCGCAAGGUCGAGGGCGACGGCGAGUAAGGGUGAAAUGGUGGGGUAAGAGCCCACCGCGCGCUUGGUAACAAGCGUGGCAGGCCAAACCCCGCACGGAGCAAGACCAAAUAGGGAGACGCGGCGGGGUGACCCGUCACAGGCGGCCCGCCUGAGGUCUCCGGGUAGGUUGCUCGAUCCCGCCAGCAAUGUCGGGGCUAGAGGAAUGAUUACCCUCGCGGCGCUCGCAAGGGCGUCGUGGGACAGAAUUCGGCUUAUAGGCUCACUGCGGCA
rnacentral:RNase_P_RNA from 1 species